UAAUUUUACCUUAAACUAGAAUCUAAAUGCUAAAUGAGGGUAUAAAGAAAUCCUAAAUGUGAUAUCAUAUGGUAGGAAAAUAAAAUAUUGGAAGAUUAAAAGAAUAAUUAAAAAUAUUUUACAUAAUAAACUAAAUCUAGAAGAUUCUAAUCAAUUAUAUAUUAAUCUAGACUUCAUCUUCCACUCAUUUUCUUCAAAAAAAAAACCGUGCAUAUCAGCCCCCAUAGGAGAAGUAGACCUCAAGCUUUCAUCUCCCUCUAUUUUGCAAAUCGUUCGGUGAAAUUGAAUUCUAGACACGUACUCCCCGAUGACUUGAGGCGAAGGAACCUAUAGUGCAUUUUGGAGACAAAGGAGUGAACCUAGAAGGUAGAGAAGUAUCAAGGUGAAAUAUGCUUAUGUUCAUAAGCCUAAGAGGUUAGAGUUGAUAGUAUGUCAGUGUGGUUGGGCAGCUUUGCAAUUUUUGGCGGGUCACUGGUGAUCAACAUGGUUAAAAAUCGUGGCAUGUUAUAUAAUAGUUCAAUCUUUGAUUUUUCGCUGGAUAAAUGUUAAGUUUUUAAUUGUAAUAGUUUUUAAUUGCUCUUUUUAAGCUAAAAAGAAAAUAGGAAAAUUUCAGUACGUGUUGUCGAUACUGAAACGUGACACCACGUAUUCGGUGGGUUUACCUACCGGGUAAGGGGUGUUACAUAUUAUGCCCCCAAACAUAAAAUACGAAUUUAUAUCUAAUAUAAAUUUUAGUG